AAAUUAAGAAGCUUGCUCUUAUGAAGUUAGCGGCGGACGGGUGAGUAACACGUGGGUAACCUGCCCAUAAGACUGGGAUAACUCCGGGAAACCGGGGCUAAUACCGGAUAACAUUUUGAACCGCAUGGUUCGAAAUUGAAAGGCGGCUUCGGCUGUCACUUAUGGAUGGACCCGCGUCGCAUUAGCUAGUUGGUGAGGUAACGGCUCACCAAGGCAACGAUGCGUAGCCGACCUGAGAGGGUGAUCGGCCACACUGGGACUGAGACACGGCCCAGACUCCUACGGGAGGCAGCAGUAGGGAAUCUUCCGCAAUGGACGAAAGUCUGACGGAGCAACGCCGCGUGAGUGAUGAAGGCUUUCGGGUCGUAAAACUCUGUUGUUAGGGAAGAACAAGUGCUAGUUGAAUAAGCUGGCACCUUGACGGUACCUAACCAGAAAGCCACGGCUAACUACGUGCCAGCAGCCGCGGUAAUACGUAGGUGGCAAGCGUUAUCCGGAAUUAUUGGGCGUAAAGCGCGCGCAGGUGGUUUCUUAAGUCUGAUGUGAAAGCCCACGGCUCAACCGUGGAGGGUCAUUGGAAACUGGGAGACUUGAGUGCAGAAGAGGAGAGUGGAAUUCCAUGUGUAGCGGUGAAAUGCGUAGAGAUAUGGAGGAACACCAGUGGCGAAGGCGACUUUCUGGUCUGUAACUGACACUGAGGCGCGAAAGCGUGGGGAGCAAACAGGAUUAGAUACGCUGGUAGUCCACGCCGUAAACGAUGAGUGCUAAGUGUUAGAGGGUUUCCGCCCUUUACUGCUGAAGUUAACGCAUUAAGCACUCCGCCUGGGGAGUACGGCCGCCAGGCUGAAACUCAAAGGAAUUGACGGGGCCCGCGCACGCCGUGGAGCUGUGAUUUUUUCGAAUCACGGGAAAAACAUUAAAAGGU
rnacentral:rRNA from 1 species